rnacentral:rRNA from 1 species
UACGUAGGGUGCGAGCGUUGUCCGGAAUUAUUGGGCGUAAAGAGCUUGUAGGCGGUUUGUCGCGUCUGCUGUGAAAAUCCGGGGCUCAGCCCCGGACUUGCAGUGGGUACGGGCAGACUAGAGGUAUGCAGGGGAGAACGGAAUUCCUGGUGUAGCGGUGAAAUGCGCAGAUAUCAGGAGGAACACCGAUGGCGAAGGCAGGUCUCUGGGCCACUACUGACGCUGAGAAGCGAAAGCAUGGGGAGCGAACAGG